CCUUCCAUAGGUGGGAGCCAGGAGGCCGGUGCUCAGCUCUGUGCAGUGGAGCUUGGGAGCUGUAACUCGAAGGAAUCUCAGGCUUUGGAACUGAUGUCAGCCAUGCUUCCAGAAUCUUCUGCUCAUUGUCAGCAGCAAGACAGAAUGAAUGGAUCUCUGAAGCUGAUGUCAUUUGAUGAUGUGGCUGUGAACUUCACCUGGAAGGAGUGGCAGGAUCUGGAUUCUGGUCAGAGGACCC